rnacentral:rRNA from 1 species
GAUGAACGCUGGCGGCGUGCCUAAUACAUGCAAGUCGAGCGAACAGACGAGGAGCUUGCUCCUCUGACGUUAGCGGCGGACGGGUGAGUAAAACGUGGAUAACCUACCUAUAAGACUGGGAUAACUUCGGGAAACCGGAGCUAAUACCGGAUAAUAUAUUGAACCGCAUGGUUCAAUAGUGAAAGACGGUUUUGCUGUCACUUAUAGAUGGAUCCGCGCCGCAUUAGCUAGUUGGUAAGGUAACGGCUUACCAAGGCAACGAUGCGUAGCCGACCUGAGAGGGUGAUCGGCCACACUGGAACUGAGACACGGUCCAGACUCCUACGGGAGGCAGCAGUAGGGAAUCUUCCGCAAUGGGCGAAAGCUUGACGGAGCAACGCCGCGUGAGUGAUGAAGGUCUUCGGAUCGUAAAACUCUGUUAUUAGGGAAGAACAAAUGUGUAGGUAACUAUGCACGUCUUGACGGUACCUAAUCAGAAAGCCACGGCUAACUACGUG